rnacentral:rRNA from 5 species
UAAGGCAGUUAUAUCGGAGAUGCUCCACCUGUUUCCAUUCCGAACACAGAAGUGAAAUUCUCCAGAGCCGAUGAUAGUUUCUCGCUAAGCGGGAUGCGAAAGUAGGUCGCUGUCUUAC